UCCGGUACGGAUCGGGUAGUGACAACGCAGACGGAGCUACCGUUUCUUCAUAAGCGAGUAAAAGAGUGAAUUUGGAUGAUAAAACAAACUAAACGAACGUUUGGAUCGAUAUCUGCAUCGAUCUGCCCACCCUUGUCUCCUGGAUCGUAGCUGAGAUCAGCGUGAACCACGUGGGUCUCUGCUCCCUGAUCUGUUUCCUGUGUUUGGAAAGAGUUCCAGCUUCAUCACGGAGUUUCUCUCGGUUUGUGGGAUCAUCUAAAGCUGAUCAGCAGGAGGAGAAGAGUCUGACGGAGCAGCAGAGGAACAUUUUCAGCCAUCUGGACUCAGCUGAGUCACUACAGAGGAAACAAUGAGCUCAACACAGAAGGACCAACAUGGAGUGAGAAGUCAGCGCUCUCAGGAGGCCGACAAACCUCACAGAAGAAAGAGAGAGAAAACAUACACCUGUGACGAGUGUGGGAAGGGUUUUAAUGGGAAGACUUCACUAAAACAGCAUCAGGUCAUCCACACUGGAGAGAGACCGUUCAGCUGUGACUUGUGUGGAAAGACUUUUUCCUGGAAGGUUGCUCUGAAACAGCACCAACUCAUCCACAGUGGAGUUAAAGCGUACAGUUGUGAUCAGUGUGGCAGAGCUUUUACUCAAAGUGGCCAAUUACAGAAGCAUCUAGUUACCCACUCUGGAAUUAAAGCAUACAGCUGUGACAUUUGUGGAAAAACCUUCAGUCAGAUAGGGAACCGAAAUACACACCUACGCAUUCACACCGGACAUGAUGUGUACUGCUGUGAUCAGUGUGGCAAACAGUUUAUAACAGACAAAAAGUUACAACGCCACAUGUUUACCCACACUGAGGAAAGACCUUAUAAAUGUGACCUGUGUGAGAAGACUUUUAAAACUAUAUAUCACCUGAGACAACACCAAGAGAUCCACACCAGAAAGAGACUCUACAAGUGCAGUUACUGUGAGGUAUGUAUUUAUAUUUGUAUCUUGUCAUUUUAGCCUGACUGUUUGGAACAACUCUGCUCACUCACUGCCUCUGUUUGUAUCUCUGUCACUGCGGGACCAACAUGGAGCGAGAAGUCAGCGCUCUCAGGAGGCCGACAAACCUCACAGAAGAAAGAGAGAGAAAACAUACACCUGUGACGAGUGUGGGAAGGGUUUUAAUGGGAAGACUUCACUAAAACAGCAUCAGGUCAUCCACACUGGAGAGAGACCGUUCAGCUGUGACUUGUGUGGAAAAACUUUUUCCUGGAAGGAUUCCCUAAAAAGACACCAGCUCAUCCACAGUGGAGUUAAAGCGUACAGCUGUGAUCAGUGUGGCAGAGCUUUUACUCAAAGUGGCCAAUUACAGAAGCAUCUAGUUACCCACUCUGGAAUUAAAGCAUACAGCUGUGACAUUUGUGGAAAAACCUUCAGUCAGAUAGGGAACCGAAAUACACACCUACGCAUUCACACCGGACAUGAUGUGUACUGCUGUGAUCAGUGUGGCAAACAGUUUAUAACCGACAAAAAGUUACAACGCCACAUGUUUACCCACACUGAGGAGAGACCUUAUAAAUGUGACCUCUGUGAGAAGACUUUUAAAACUAUAUAUCACCUGAGACAACACCAAGAGAUCCACACCAGAAAGAGACUCUACAAGUGCAGUUACUGUGAGAAGCAGAGCGACACAGAUGGAUCCAGUUCUCAACCCUGUCAUCACUGUGGUGGUGGGAAAGACUUUCGCUGUGACCUUUGUGGAAAAACUUUCAGUCAAAAAGACAGCCUAAAAAGACAUCAACGUAAACACACUGGAGACAAACUGAAAAACUGCAAAGAAUGUGGGAGAAGCUUCCCCACAAUAACUGACUUAAAGCGACAUGAACUCAUUCACAGUGGGGUUAAAAAGUACGUCUGUGAUCAGUGUGGGUCAUCUUUCAUUACUGCAAGUGGGCUUAAAAGACACAAACGAGUCCACACAGGAGAGAAACCAUACAAGUGCAGACACUGUGACAAAAGCUUCUCACAAUCACAUGGUCGUAACCUUCAUGAACGUGCACACAUGGAAGGAAACUACAGCUGUGACCAGUGUGACAAGAGCUUCAGGAAUCUCAGUUCAUACUCCAAACACAAACGAUCCCACGUUACUAAUAAACUGUUUCACUGUUACCAAUGUGCCAAAACAUUCACUAAAUUUUCUGCUCUGUGCAAACAUCAGUGUGAUCACUCAGGGCUGAAAUCACUCCCAUCACUGUGAAUCUGAAGAGACAGAAAGAUCCUCUUCUGGUUUCAGGGUCAGACUCAAAGCCCUUGAGAUCAGGCUCCACAGAGUUCAGAGUGAAUCUCCUGUAAAGAUCUGGUGAAGCAGCUAUGAAUGAAAAUGGUUCCCUAGUCUCAUUUUAAGCUUUCUAAACUGUUCUGCUUCAGUGUUCGUGUCGAGUGGUUCGCUUUGUUCCAGCAGGUGGAUGAAGACGUUUGAGCUGUGAUUUCAUUUCCUGUAUUUCAGAGUAAAGACUGAAGUGACAAAUGGAAACAUGUUUACAGUCACAGUCGGAUGAACUGUGUUCAGUGGCACAGAUGGAGGUUUAUCAGAGGAGGAGACUUGGCUGUUCUCCACUCACACUGAACAGGGUUCCUGCAGCUUAUUAAAAAUCUGACCUGAAAGUUAUUAAAAAUUUCCUUGUAACACUGAGUUACAGUAGGGGGGCUGCUCCGUAAUCCAGUUCAAUAACACAUCUCCUGACAUUAAACGUAAGCUUAUUUAAUAACGUGGAUCUCUUUUUGUCCAGAUUUUUAUUCAGAGGCAGCAACCGUGGUAAGAAUUGACCCGGAUCUUUACAGAUCUUACAGUUUAGUAUCAAGUUCAUUUUCUUGUUGAUGCAGAGCCCAGAAUUUAGACAAUUUUUAGACAAUCCCAUAAAAGAUGCAUGUAUGUCAAGAGAUUUAUUCUAAAAGACACUUCUUCAGCUGAGACUCAGAGGGUUGUAACACACACACACACGCUGCAGUUUUUGCUUGCAAGGGCGGUCACAGAGUGCUCACACGAGAGUGGGGGCCCUGUGCUGUGCGCUCUGUUCUUGCACCUGUCUGUAUUUAAAUACAAAAGUAAUACAAUAGUGAAUACGUCUGUUCAUAGACAGAGGAAUGUGUGUGUGUGUGUGUGUGUGUGAUUCUGAAGGACGCGACCCCUCUUCUUGUUAGGGAGCGCAGAUAAGAGUGUCCAGCUCUCCUCUUCCUGGUAGGGAGUGAAGAUAUUGCUGUGGGAAGAAACUUGCAAAAGAGAACUGAGCAAGUCUUGUAGUGAACAACAGUCUAAGUCAUCAAAAGGUCAUCAUGCAGUAUUCUAUCAUAUGCAAACUUAUAUCAUUAAAAGCUUAUACUGACUACUAAGUACAAUUCUCCAUUGACAAUGUAAGUGCAGUCUGUUGUUUUAUAUUUGAGAAAAAAUGUUGAAAGAGCUUUAAAAUCCUUUAUUUUUCCUUAAACUUGCUGUAGGUAUUAAAACUUAUGAUUUUGUGUUUAAGAUGUCAAAACAAUUCAUUUGGGGAAUUCAUCUUUUUAAAGUUGUGGUUUCAUUUGCUCAGAGUUCAUCAACGUUUUCCUCAUAUAAGGUGGGAUGGAUCCAUGCUUUUAUGCUGUUUAAGACAAAUUCUGAAAGCUGAACGCUGCAGAGAUUGAGACCAAUUAGACCAGGCAGCAUUUUUCAAUCUUCUAUUGUCCUGAGCUGUGGCCUCAGUUUCACUUGAAGUUGAACCCAAGUACGGUCUUCAGUUGUGGACUGGUCCAUGGACCCGCCUGUCCUCUAUGAACACAGGUACACAUCCUGGACAGGGAGGAACGCCGGUUUGAGCACGGAGUCAAGGAGGCCAUUUACGUGAAAAGGGAAAGACUCUGAAUAAAGGAGGGUGCCUAAGGGUACAUUUAUUUGCUUUGCAACGUCCAUUUAAAUUUCCAUUUAAACAUAGACAACAAGUAAGUAGACUAAGUAGGAAAUGGUUUGCCCCUUCUCAUCAGCAACACCCGGACAGAAUUACCCUUGACCUUAAAUAACCCCGUACCUACCUCUGCCAUAACCAGUACAUAAAAUGAAAUACAACCCUAGUGGUGAUAAAGACAGGGAAAUAAGAAAAAUGGCUCCUGAACACCAGCUCCUAAUUAUAUGAGCAAAGGACAUAGCAAUUAUCGAACUUAACUGGCAGCCAGUGUAAGUAUGCCAGUAUGGGAGAUAUGUAGUCUCGGUUGCAUACUAUAAGAUAACCUUUAUUAGUCUCAAGCGGGGGAAAUUUGUUUUGUUACAGCAGUGGACAGUACAAAGUUGCAUAGAAAAAUUUGAGAAAAAACACUGGAAUAAUAUAUCCAUAAGAUACUGUACACCAGGGGUGGGCAAACCUAGGCACGCGAAGGGUUAACUGAUGACACGACCAUAGCUGGACUGGCCAUUGUAUCAUCGGGCAUACUGGGCAUUUGCUCAGUGGCCCGAUGAUUUUUUAUUUAUUUAUUUUUUUGUAACGGUAUAAACCAGAUCUUCCCAAAGUGUGGGGCCCGUCCCCUGGGGGGCGCAGAGCCAUUGCAGGGGGGCGCGGCAUGAAAAGGGAAAAAAAAAACAAUGCUUGGACACUGCUAGCACGGGGCUCCCACACAAACGCAAAGCAGGAGGUGAAGCAUAGCUGAAUAUGUUUCCAAACCAACUUCAUUCUAAGCCAGAGACUAGAAAAUAUGGUGAAGCAUAUCUACCCUUUGGUUUCACCUGCACAAGUGCCAAGGUAGGUCUCCCCUGCAGAAUUGGUUUUCCCUGCAUCAUGAGCAGCGCUGGGCUGUUCAAAUCACGGACAAACAGUAUCCCACAUUUGGGAUUUUUAGUUCACAAACACUUGUUGUAAUGACUAACUACUCCUGACAUUUUGGAGAUGUUAGCUCUUUACACAGUAAAGUUACAGUGGGAUAAAAAUAAUAUCAGGCUGAUCCUGCCAGGAUUUGUUCCCCCUGUCUAAAUCAUGGACAAACAGUAUCCCACAGCUGUUCAUGUUUUUGCACAGAGAGGCAUUUUUUGAAAAAUGUAUUGUUAGCAAUGUUGAAUAUUAUUACACAGGAAAAAAACAAGUACAUGUAAAAUAAUUACACAGUGGGACAGUAACUGCAUGUGUAUAUGUAAGCGUGUAAAACCUGAAGAUGGAGACAAAAUACUUAAUUAAUCUGACUAUCUGCCAUUCUGCAAUUCAUCUCAUGUAAACAAUAACGUGGCGCACAGUGUGACGUGGAAAAAGGCACAUACCUUUAACAUUGCGUGACUCCGUAUUCCUCGUCCACACGUAAACCCAAAAAAGGAGCUUUAAAAAAUCUCCGUUUUCGGUGAUUCCAAACACCGUUUACGUGCGUACGAAACAGCUGCGUUUUCAAAAUCACCCAUGUAAGUGCGGACGCAGCAUAAAAGAGUUAGUAGUUUAUUUUCUUACUACCUGCAGAUUACUUGUAUUUGCUUAAUUGUUUACUAAAUUUUUGAGGUGUGAAAUAAACU